rnacentral:tRNA from 1 species
GCGUCGGUGGUCUAGUAGUGAGCAUAGCUGCCUCCCAAGCAAUUGACCCGGGUGCGAUUCCCGGCCAACGAA